rnacentral:lncRNA from 1 species
CUCAAUUUAAACAUCAAAGUACUAGACGACUGUCUGUACAUCUAUACCUUAACAAUUCAACUUAAAUCCUAACACAGUUUUGGAUUCUGGUCAUUUCAGAGUUUCCGGUAAACUAGAAGAUAUUCAUUGGAUUAAAAAAAUCUAUGGAAAUGAUAACCUGGGAAAAAAAUCAAACUAACUAUUGUGUGCAAGAAGGAUAAGAGAUAAAUAGAUUCCUCUAUUUUUCGUACAAAACAAACUGUCAUUUUUGCAUGAAUCUUUUGCACGUUCUUACUUUUUAGUAUUCCUUAUUUUAUUGAUGAAAAAAAAAGUUUUUCCUGAACUUCGAAGGAGCAAAACCACCCAAAAAAAAACCCGGUUAUGAUUUGAAGAGUCAGUUUUGUGUGCAAAUUCCAAUAGUUAUCAAUUUUUUCAUGAACGCGGAAAGGAGCCAUCGAGAAACUACUAGUUGGCGGAACCAUUUACCGGUAUUGAAAAGUCUACAACCGAGC